AUGGCUAAAGGUACCGCACCACCUCCAAAGAGGAAUUACGUCACUUGGGAUGAUCACAUGGACACUGUUAUGCUUGAGGUGCUUGUUCAUCACCACAACAUGGGUGACCAUUCACGAAAUGGAUGGAAAGCACAUGUGUACACUGCAGCUAUAAAGAAUGUGAAGGAGAAGUGUAAUAAGGAUAUCGGAAAGGAAAACAUCUUGGGAAGGCUUAGGACUUCCGACAAGCAAUUUGAAGUCAUAAGCAAGAUACUUUCUCAAAGUGGUUUUGGGUGGGAUUGGGUCAACCAUAAGCUAUCCACUGAUAGUGAUGAUGUCUGGACUAAAUAUGUGGAGGUAACUUCUAUAUAUUUGAAUUGUUCUUACAAGACCAAAGUAGUGAAGCAUUGGGAUUCCAUUUCUACCAUAUAUUCGAAAGAUCAUCCCAAUAGGGAAGAUGCCAUGAUGGGUGAUGAGAAUGCUGCAGAGCCAGAAGAACCAAUUGAAAUCUCUCCAGAGAUGGCACCAAAGAGAGCACGAACAGGUGAGGCCAUUAUGUGCAUGAUUGAAGAAAUGAGGACUAAUUUUAAAGAUGCUUUGAGGACAACAGAUCCACAACCAAUUGAAGACAACCUUGGAGAAAUGAGGACUCCUUAUGAAAUACAUGUUGCUCUUCAGUUGAUACCAGAUUUGGCAGAAGCGGAUAUGUUACGCUCUUAUGGGAAGUUGAUUAUUAAUGAGCGUUUGUUUCAAGCUCUAAUGGAGUUGCCCGUGCACAUGAGAAAG
rnacentral:rRNA from 1 species